rnacentral:tRNA from 2 species
GGAGGCGUCGGAUAGUGGUUUAUUCCACCACCUUGGAAAGGUGGCAUACCGAAAGGUAUCGUGAGUUCGAAUCUCACCGCCUCCG